rnacentral:rRNA from 1 species
GACGAACGCUGGCGGCGUGCUUAACACAUGCAAGUCGAACGGAAAGGCCUGCUUUCCCUUGUGGAUUGCGGGUACUCGAGUGGCGAACGGGUGAGUAACACGUGAGUGAUCUGCCCCCAACUUGGGUAUAAGCCUGGGAAACUGGGUCUAAUUCCCGAUAGGACUGCAGGGUGGUGCCUGUGGUGGAAAACGAUUUUCUAGUGGUUGGGGAUGAGCUCGCGGCCUAUCAGCUUGUUGGUGGGGUAAUGGCCUACCAAGGCGGCGACGGGUAGCCGGCCUGGGAGGGUGGACGGCCACAUUGGGACUGAGAUACGGCCCAGACUCCUACGGGAGGCAGCAGUGGGGAAUAUUGCACAAUGGGCGGAAUCCUGAUGCAGCGACGCCGCGUGGGGGAUGACGGCCUUCGGGUUGUAAACUCCUUUCGACCGCGAGGAAGCCACCUGGUUGGAAGGGUGGUGACGGUAGUGGUAGAAGAAGCACCGGCUAACUACGUG